UGCUUUUUCAACAGACUCCAGCGCUGUGCUCACUUCACUCUCUAAAGAACACAGCGCCUUUCCAGCUCACACCCCACUCUGUUCAAAUCACGCAUCGCUGAGACUAUGCCACAAACCUCUUGCGUAUAUCCAAGCUUCCUUCUAGGCGUCUUACCUUUCUCUUUUUGCACAGUGGAUCCCUGUCAUCAAACCAUCGCCCCUAUCCUAUUACUCUCUUUGCCUUCGCCUUCCUGACACUUCUCCUGUCACCUAUCUCGGUCGGUCCCCAAUCACCAAAACCUGCUCUACAUUCCCGUGGCUCUUAUGAUUUACCUACUAAUGUUACUCUAUCAAUUAUUCUUUAAGACAAUACAUCAGCAUAUAACUACAAAGAAACCUGAAGCAUAAAUACCUUUUACUGGACUGUGUUCUGUUUCUUUGUAUCCGCAGUGACCUCCUUUAUACACCCACAAAGAGAGCAAGGAGGACCAGUGGAGAUGAAUAAAGAUCCAGAAGGACAAAUAAGGAAAGGUAAAAAAAGAGCAAAUGUUUUUCCCUCCAUUCAAAAUGACAUUUUCAGCUCUUCCCACUCUAUAAAGGAGUAUCAAUGGGACCCAGAGCAACUGCACUGAGCAGCAGCCUCUACUUCGAGGGGGAUCUGACAACCUCUCUCUCACACACAUACACACACCAUUUCACCUGCCCUACCCCCUCUAUAGCACUGUCUCCAUCUCUCCCUCGCACACACACUCACAUACUCUCCCUCUCCAAUGUGGCUCAUUCAAACAGUCCUGCUCUCUCUUUCUCUCUCUCUCUCUCCAGCUGGUAGGUGGAUCUCACUCAUUCACUUUCCCCCCUCUCCCUUUACCUCAAUUUUCCACUCACUCACUCACUCUAGCUGCUCUUGUUACUCUCUAUUCUGACUUUCUAUCCCUCUCUCUCCCUCUCAUCCUACCCCUCUCGCUCUCCCUCUCUCACAAACACACACUUUCUUAUUCCCUCUUGUCCCCCAAUAUUCUACCUCCCUCUCACACACUCUCCUUGUCCCUUGCAAUUCUCUCUCCCUGCAUCCAACCUUCUCUCACAUACAGCUCGACAUUUAAGCUUGUCCACUUGCCUGGGGCAAGUAAAACAAAUCGUUGGACGAGCAGAUUGUAG
rnacentral:lncRNA from 1 species